UAGAGAAUAAGUUAUAUACCAUAAACUAGAGGGCUCAUGCCCCUAAAAAGAUUUAUCUUCUCUAA
rnacentral:tRNA from 1 species